rnacentral:rRNA from 1 species
GGGCCCGCACAAGCAGCGGAGCAUGUGGUUUAAUUCGAAGCAACGCGAAGAACCUUACCUAGACUUGACAUCUCCUGAAUUACCUGUAAUAAGGGAAGCCCUUCGGGGCAGGAAGACAGGUGGUGCAUGGUUGUCGUCAGCUCGUGUCGUGAGAUGUUGGGUUAAGUCCCGCAACGAGCGCAACCCUUAUCAUUAGUUGCUACCAUUAAGUUGAGCACUCUAGUGAGACUGCCCGGGUUAACCGGGAGGAAGGUGGGGAUGACGUCAAAUCAUCAUGCCCCUUAUGUCUAGGGCUACACACGUGCUACAAUGGGCGGUACAACGAGAUGCGAAACCGUGAGGUGGAGCCAAACUCAAAAACCGUUCCCAGUUCGGAUUGAAGGCUGAAACUCGCCUUCAUGAAGCCGGAGUUGCUAGUAAUCGCGAAUCAGCAUGUCGCGGUGAAUACGUUCCCGGGCCUU